rnacentral:misc_RNA from 1 species
AAGUCGUAACAAGGUUUCCGUAGGUGAACCUGCGGAAGGAUCAUUAACACGUAUCCAACGUUAAACCCCCUGUGAACCUUAAGCGUGCUCUUGCAGCCUCUAUAGGAACAGCAAUCCUGGUAAAUCAGUCCGAGAAAAGUUUUUGAUUCAGGACCUCUGUCUAAAAGGAUGCAAUCGAGCGCUGGAGCAAGUGGCUUGGUUUCCCCAAGCAGUUAGUAUUCUGAAAGUGUUGCUAAUUGUGCAAGGAUAACGCUUUACGAUUGCUGUAGGCCGAACACCGGCCGGCGACUCGGUCACCGGGCUCACGCCCCCUAGCUCACAAACCCAAGUUAUCUAUAACGGACGCCUCCACAGCAAGUGCGCCGGAGCUUACGUCCAAAACCGAACAACUGUUAACAAUGGAUAUCUUGGUUCUC